CCUGCCGAAUGAAUUAGCCCUGAAAAUGGAUGGCGCUAAAACGUAUAGCCGAAACUAUACCAUCUGAAUUAAUUUAUUAUUCAGAUGAGUAGGAGGAACGUAACGGUUGUAUAGAAGCGUAUGUGCAAACAUUCGUGGAACGGNCGUUAGUGCAGAUCUUGGUGGUAGUAGCAAAUAUUCAAAUGUAAACCUUGAAGGGUGAAGCGGGGAAGGGUUUCAUGUCAACAUUAAUUGUACAUGAGUGAGUCGUUCCUAAGUCAUUUUAAAAUCAAAAAUGGCGAAAGGGAAAUAGGUUAAUAUUCCUAUACACGGAUGUGGAUGCGGUGACGCACUUUCUGUGGCGGUGAAGCUAUUAAAUACACUGGGCAGAGAUAUCUUUUCUGUUUAACAGAGCUAAUUUAUAUACUAUGAAAAUCGGUUUUCGAAAGAAAUAGAUAUGAAAUUGGUAAAGCACCGAAUAAAAAUUUGGUGUCCAGUUUGUAAUUAAUAGACCGUGAAAAGCUGUCUGCAGGCAAAUAAAAAUUUUUUUUGAGGGGGUAUACUUGAAAAAGAAAUUUCUAUUUGUAGUAAAAUCCACGCCGUAACGUACCGAUAAACCGCAUCAGGUCCCCAAGGUG
rnacentral:rRNA from 1 species